rnacentral:misc_RNA from 1 species
GAUGAAGAACGUAGCGAAAUGCGAUAAUUAAUGUGAAUUGCAGAAUUCAGUGAAUCAUCGAGUCUUUGAACGCACAUUGCGCCCCUUGGUAUUCCGAGGGGCAUGCCUGUUCGAGCGUCAUUAUAACCCCUCAAGCUCAGCUUGGUGUUGGGGCCUGCUGCACUGGCAGCCCUUAAAAUCAGUGGCGGCGCCAUCUGGCUCUAAGCGUAGUAAUUCUUCUCGCUAUGGAGUCCUGGUGGAUGCUUGCCAUCAACCCCCAAUUUUUCUAUGGUUGACCUCGGAUCAGGUAGGGAUACCCGCUGAACUUAAGCAUAUCAAUAAGCGGAGGA